rnacentral:rRNA from 1 species
UUAAAUUGAAGAGUUUGAUCAUGGCUCAGAUUGAACGCUGGCGGCAGGCCUAACACAUGCAAGUCGAACGGUAACAGGAAGCAGCUUGCUGUUUUGCUGACGAGUGGCGGACGGGUGAGUAAUGUCUGGGAAACUGCCUGAUGGAGGGGGAUAACUACUGGAAACGGUAGCUAAUACCGCAUAACGUCGCAAGACCAAAGAGGGGGACCUUAGGGCCUCUUGCCAUCGGAUGUGCCCAGAUGGGAUUAGCUAGUAGGUGGGGUAACGGCUCACCUAGGCGACGAUCCCUAGCUGGUCUGAGAGGAUGACCAGCCACACUGGAACUGAGACACGGUCCAGACUCCUACGGGAGGCAGCAGUGGGGAAUAUUGCACAAUGGG